rnacentral:misc_RNA from 1 species
AGCGGCCGCGGUAAUUCCAGCUCCAAUAGCGUAUAUUAAAGUUGUUGCAGUUAAAAAGCUCGUAGUUGAAUUUCGAGACCGGUUUAUUGGUCGUGCUUUUGUACGUACUGGUAUUAUUGGUUUCUCCUUUCUGACGAAUCUUAAUGCCAUUAAUUUGGUGUUUUGGGGAAUCAGGACUGUUACUUUGAAAAAAUUAGAGUGUUUAAAAGCAGGCUCACGCUUGAAUACAUUAGCAUGGAAUAACGGAAUAGGACGUUUGAUUCUAUUUUGUUGGUUUCUAGGAUCGACGUAAUGAUUAAUAGGGAUAGUUGGGGGCAUUAGUAUUCAAUUGUCAGAGGUGAAAUCCUUGGAUUUAUUGAAGACUGACUACUGCGAAAAGCAAUUUGCCAA